rnacentral:rRNA from 1 species
UACAGAGGGGGCAAGCGUUGUUCGGAAUUACUGGGCGUAAAGGGCGCGUAGGCGGCCUGCUAAGUCGAACGUGAAAUCCCUGGGCUCAACCCAGGAACUGCGUCCGAUACUGGCAGGCUUGAAUCCGGGAGAGGGAUGUGGAAUUCCAGGUGUAGCGGUGAAAUGCGUAGAUAUCAGGAGGAACACCGGUGGUGUAGACGGCUUACUGGACCACGACUGACACUGAGGCACGAAAGCGUGGGUAGCAAACAGG